CCUACGGAGGCUGCAGUGAGGAAUAUUGGUCAAUGGGCGGGAACCUGAACCAGCCAAGUCGCGUGAGGGACGACGGUCCUAUGGAUUGUAAACCUCUUUUGUCGGGGAACAAAGGCGCCCACGGGUGGGCGGAUGAGUGUACCCGAAGAAAAAGCAUCGGCUAACUCCGUGCCAGCAGCCGCGGUAAUACGGAGGAUGCGAGCGUUAUCCGGAUUUAUUGGGGUUAAAGGGUGCGUAGGCGGACAGUCAAGUCAGCGGUAAAAAUGCGGUGCUCAACGCCGUACAGCCGUUGAAACUGGCAGUCUUGAGUAGGCGAGAAGUAUGCGGAAUGCGUGGUGUAGCGGUGAAAUGCAUAGAUAUCACGCAGAACUCCGAUUGCGAAGGCAGCAUACCGGCGCCCUACUGACGCUGAGGCACGAAAGCGUGGGUAUCGAACAGGAUUAGAUACCCGAGUAGUC
rnacentral:rRNA from 1 species